CACGUAGGGCGCAAGCGUUGUCCGGAAUUACUGGGCGUAAAGCGCACGUAGGCGGGUACUUAAGUCCGGGGUGAAAUCCCGGGGCUCAACCCCGGAACUGCCUUUGAUACUGGGUAUCUCGAGUCCGGAAGAGGUGAGUGGAAUUCCGAGUGUAGAGGUGAAAUUCGUAGAUAUUCGGAGGAACACCAGUGGCGAAGGCGGCUCUCUAGUACGGUACUGACGCUGAGACGCGAAAGCGUGGGGAGCGAACAGG
rnacentral:rRNA from 1 species